rnacentral:rRNA from 1 species
UGGGGAAUAUUGCACAAUGGGCGAAAGCCUGAUGCAGCAACGCCGCGUGAGGGACGACGGCCUUCGGGUUGUAAACCUCUUUUAGCAAGGAAGAAGCGAAAGUGACGGUACUUGCAGAAAAAGCGCCGGCUAACUACGUGCCAGCAGCCGCGGUAAUACGUAGGGCGCAAGCGUUAUCCGGAAUUAUUGGGCGUAAAGAGCUCGUAGGCGGUUUGUCGCGUCUGCUGUGAAAACCCGAGGCUCAACCUCGGGCCUGCAGUGGGUACGGGCAGACUAGAGUGCGGUAGGGGAGAUUGGAACUCCUGGUGUAGCGGUGGAAUGCGCAGAUAUCAGGAAGAACACCGAUGGCGAAGGCAGAUCUCUGGGCCGUAACUGACGCUGAGGAGCGAAAGGGUGGGGAGCAAAACAGGCUUAGAUACCCUGGUAGUCCACCCGUAAACGUUGGGAACUAGUUGUGGGGUCCAUUCCACGGAUUCCGUGACGCAGCUAACGCAUUAAGUUCCCCGCCUGGGGAGUACGGCCGCAAGGCUAAAACU